UGAAAAUUAAAGCAAAAAAGAUUGCCAGGGAUAAGAAAGUAGAUCUAGUAAAAGCAGGGGGUGGAGAACAAGUUUGUGGCGAUGUUGACGAAGAAACAUUAAUAAUAUUAAAUAUUAUUAAAAAAGAUCUGACGGUGUUCUUCAACACUUGGGGUGAUGAUAGCGAGCUUCAACCACUGUCGGCUGCAAAUGAGACACCAACCCCAACCGGGAGACAGACCACUCAACUGGAAACCGAGGAUAUAGAGCCGACUAUACCAAGCGAUCAGUCGCAAUUCUGUUCUAACUCGAGUGAAUCCCACACUUCUCAUCAAGAUCCAUUGCCGAUAAACCAGUCUAGCGAUUCCUUUGAUGGCCAUAUACCUAGGCACAGUUCGCACAGUUCCCAAUCAGACACUGCAAGCAGAGGGUUAAGGUAUGCUUUAAUGUGCAUAUGGGAAGCUAACAUAACAAUGCUCCAUCUCUUAAUUUUAGAGUGUAUUGCCCAUUAACAUACUUGUUAACAGACUUUCUCUGCGUGGCACCAAACGAUCUUCGGACAACUCUAACAGGGCUGGUACAGAGGGACGAACUGGUGUUAUGAAGAGGGCGGAGGAAGCCAUGUCCUACCUGCAAGCAGAACAUGAAGCAAAAAUGAAGCUAAUAACCUUACAGCAGGAGGCUGCAAAAAACAAGCAUAUCAGGCAAAGCAGAAAUACUAUGACGAAAAAUAUAGAAAAUUAUGCAUCGAUUUAUGACAUGUAAUUUUCUGGUUAAUAAAUUUAUCAAGUAACUGAA